GAUUUCCAGUCAGUGACCCCACCUUUGAGUGGGACAGUCCACACAUUUGCUCUGACAUUCUUUCUAUGAAGCAGCAGUGACAGCUGCAAUUGCUUUCAAGGAGUCAUCUCAAAGGUGGUCUGACAGUAUCCAAUACCUUAACUGUUCUGAGCACAGGAGACAAAACACCUUGAAUUUCUUAAUUUUCCAAGUUGGUGACAAUGGCAACUUAUUUUGGAGUUACCUCAGCAGUUUUUUUCAUCUGGGCUAUGACAUUCAUGGCUCAAAAUUACUUUAUAGCAGGUUCCAUUCUUCCACCUUGCAGGAUCGCAGGUGUAGGAAUUUAUCUUGAGGAGAAAGUGAAUCUCUCAGAAGCAAGUAAUGCAUGUAAUCAACUGAAUCUACAAUUGGCAAGUAAAACCCAAGUUGAAAAGGCUUUGAAACAUGGCUUUGAAACAUGCAGCUAUGGAUGGGUGAAAGACGGAUUUGCUGUCAUUCCUCGGAUAACAUCCAACAGGAAGUGUGGUCAGGGCAAGGUUGGACUAGUGCUAUGGUAUGCUGAAUCCUCCAAAACAUUUAUGAUUUACUGCUUCAAUUCCUCAGAUGUUCAGAUUAAUUCAUGUAAACCAGAUCCAACUACAACCAUACUACCUUCAUCAAGUGCACCAACGGACUUAACUGCAUAUUCAGGCUCUGAUUUGACUGAGAACAUCACAGCAGUGCCCCAUGAGACCGAAUCAGAACAAUCCCUGAAAAAUAUAAAAUUUCGCGUAAUAUGUAUAACUGAAACUAUAUUACCAACAGAGGGGACUACUACAGAAAUGCCAGAGGGAUACUUGCCAACUGACUCUCCUAACUACUCUUCCAGUGUUGCCUUUAAGAAUGAUGCCAUUGUCUUUGGAGGUAUCCCCACUGCACUUCUUGUAUUGGCAGUCAUCUUCUUCAUUAUUUCAGUUGUUCUUGCAGUCUGCUAUAUCAAAAAGUACAAGAAAACUUUCCCAUUUUCAAACAAGAAUCAACAAAAAGAAAUGGUUGAAACUACUGCUCUCAAAGAGGCUAAGUCAAAUGACAAAAUAACUGAGAAGGAAACAAAGAAUAAUGGGAAAAAUGUAGAAGAGUCUAAAACCAAGCCUGAGGCCGUGGUAAAAUGUCUGGAAGCAGAAGUGUAAGGGGAAGAAGCUCAGAAAUAUUUCAAGGCUCCAAGAGUCUGCACUGUGCUGACAUGCAGUCCACCACUGCCAUUAAAGCUAUGCUACUUCAGAAAGACUGUGAUUCAGUACAGCUCUAAAAAGCCCAAAUUUCAGAUGCCCAUCAACAGAAUUUCAGCAGAAAAACGUGCCACAGAGGAAAGCACUAGAUACAGCCUUCCCACUCAGUUAAGUAAUUCCUCUUCUUGCAAAAUACUGCAGCAAUGCCGUGUGUCUCUCCUGGCAACCUGAAUGAAAGUGCUCUCUGCUGUGUCAGCAGUGAGGGUAGACAGCAGAAAUAAGGCCAUCGAGAAGGGCCACAGCAAACAUUUGUCGUGACAGUGUCAGAAUAGCAGAUGGGCUUAAGGACACAGGCAACACUAGUGGAUUCCAGGUUAUUUUGGACUUUGUGACAUAUUACAAUUCCCCUUCUGCCUCUUUUCUAUGUUUUAGCGAUUAGAAAUUACCUGUUUCUCUAUUGUUUUCUCCACCACCAAGAGAUAAUUACCUAUCACUUCUCUUACUCUCCUACUAUUACCUCUAUUCCACAGGCAUCAACUUCCUUUUCUAUCAGAUUGUCUCAUUCACACCUAAAGAAAUUCGGAAAAAAUUUCUCAAAUUCUACGCCAGCUGGAAGUAUGUUACUUCUGGUUUAGAUCUUUGAAAUAAGAGCUUUUUUUUUUUUUUCUCUGAAGUGUUUGCUUUCUAAAAAAAUCUAUACUACCUGAUACAGAAAAAUAUUGCCUUAACCUAUAAAUGUCUUGUUUUAUCAUGUACCUUAAAAACUCAGAUAGCUUUCAUCCCAACCUUCAUGCUGACACCUGGCCAACGCACAUAGUUUGAUCUGCUCCUUCUUUCCAAUUUAUGCGAACACCACAAAGGUUAAAAGGAACCUGUUACACUGUUCUCCACGUAAUAAAAGCUAGUUAGAAGUACUAAUCAACAAGUACUCUGUAUUUGGUAGUUUGUAUAUAAUGAGUGCUACUCCGUUACACUUGAAUUAGAAAGUACAAAACGUUCUUGCUCACUAAUAGAACUGCAAGGGAUGUACCGCUACAAAGCAAACAGGAAACAUUUAUUUAAGUUGUAGACAGAGAGUGUCAAAACCCCAAACCCUUAACUGGUAGUAGCAGAAACUUAAGAGAAGGUAUUCAGUAUGUUUCUGACUUUUUUCAAGUGUUACGCUUUUUUUCAUGGGACAUUCCCAACAGCUAUGAAGUUCCUCAAUGCCUCAGAAAUUGCAUUACACUCAAGUAUCUUGGACAAAUCAUUCUGGCUAGCGGAGAUGACAGUUUGCAUUAAUCAUUUGACAGUAACGCUACUUGGAUUCCCACGCUGAGGCUACAGAUGUUUGCUGACCUUGGGCAAAAGGGGUGGUGGCCUGCAGGAAACGCAGCGAGGUUCCCAGUCCAGCCCAAUCCCUGCCUGGAAUAUGGGGGUGCCUUUAAGUACGCGUGUCUAUGUGUGAACCGAAGCAGGCAGGAAGGGGAAGUACUGCUCCUUUUCUCCUCUUUAAAUUAAAAAAAAAAAAAAAAAGAACCACCCAACUUACAAUUAAACCUUGAAGCAUCAGGAUGUGGAUGCCCUAGAGGAUGUUCUAGGAUUUAUGUUCCUAAAUGGGUUAUCGUUUAUGGGUGGUGGGAUUUUGUUGUACAAAGGUCAGUGCGUGCCGACCCUUGGCACCCACAGGCAGCUCCGGCACCCUCCAGGCAGGCUGGGGUGCCCCCUCCCCCCGCCCGGCUGCUUGGGGUGGGGGUGGGGGCGUGCACCAGCACUUGCUGGCCCGUGACCAGCACUUAAGCACUUUGCUUGUCCCGCAGAACGCAAAGGGCGCCCAGGCGGGGCCUCCCCGGCUCCCCGUAAGGCCAGCGCCGCCCGUGCGAACGGCCCCGGCCCGGCGGCGCUGCCGGUGCCCCCGCGGGACGGGCCCUGCGCCCGGCCUCGGCGGCAGCGUCCGCCGUAUCCCGGCAACGCGCGCUGGCGUCACCGAGCCGCGCCGAGCGCCGCCGCGCCUGCGCCGGGAGCCGACGGCCGGGGGUGCGGCCUGGCUGCGGUCCCCGUCGGGCGGCGGCGAGCAGGAUGCCGGGGCGCUGGGAGACCUUGUACGCAGUAUAUUCUCCUGUGCUGGCUAAGCCAGAACUAGCCAUCUGGUUUUGAAAUGUUUACUGCAGUACUUGAAGUUUCUAUAGUGGUUGUAAUUACACUUCAAAACCAAAGCCUUACAUUUCUCCUUAAAUUCACUGUUCUCCAACACUCUUCUUCCAUGCUGCAAAAUUGGCAUCUGGACAAGACAAACAUCUGUUGUUUGAAGUGCAGCCUGGUUCUGAUUCUUCUGCUUUCUGGAAGGUGGUUGUUCGGAUAAUAUGCACUAAAGGUUAAACAGUUGACAGAUGAAGAGGAAUGUUGCAUCUGCAUGGAUGGACGUGCUGAUUUAAUCUUGCCAUGUGCUCACAGUUUCUGCCAGAAAUGCAUUGAUAAAUGGUGCUGUGGUUAAAAGGAUGCCAUGUGAGUCAGAUGUCUCCUAAACUUUGAAGUGUGGUAUUAACAAGGUAGCGUAAAUGCAGCCCUGCAAAAAGGACUCAGUCUGAUUCUUCUCUUUUUCUUGUCAAAACAAGUAACAAUAAAAGACAAUAUUGAGGA